UUUUUAAACUUUUAUGCUUUUUUUGGAUUAUUAUUUUUGGCUUAGUGCUGCAAAAUACUUUGUGCAACAGAUUUGUGACUGUGAUUGCAAAAUUGGUUAGUUUUUGUAAAUUGUUGCGCUUUCGUUAAUACUCUUUCACUAUCACUGCCCCAUUUUACCACAAUCCAAUCCAAUCAGACAAUUGAUCCAUCACAAAGCUGAAUCAAAUUGUUGCCGAUGCGAAUGACUUCACAAAUGAUCUUAUCACUGUAAUGAAGUUCAACGGGUCCGGUUGUUUUACAACUUUUUGAAAUAACGUCCCAUUUAUACGUAACAAAUUUAACCUAAUAUGACAGUGCAACAUAAAAAGUGUGCUACACCAAGGCA